rnacentral:rRNA from 1 species
GAUGAACGCUGGCGGCGUGCCUAAUACAUGCAAGUCGAGCGAAUGGAUUAAGAGCUUGCUCUUAUGAAGUUAGCGGCGGACGGGUGAGUUACACGUGGGUAACCUGCCCAUAAGACUGGGAUAACUCCGGGAAACCGGGGCUAAUACCGGAUAACAUUUUGAACCGCAUGGUUCGAAAUUGAAAGGCGGCUUCGGCUGUCACUUCUGGCUGGACCCGCGUCGCAUUAGCUAGUUGGUGAGGUAACGGCUCACCAAGGCAACGAUGCGUAGCCGACCUGAGAGGGUGAUCGGCCACACUGGGACGGAGACACGGCCCAGACUCCUACGGGAGGCAGCAGUAGGGAAUCUUCCGCAAUGGACGAAAGUCUGACGGAGCAACGCCGCGUGAGUGAUGAAGGCUUUCGGGUCGUAAAACUCUGUUGUUAGGGAAGAACAAGUGCUAGUUGAAUAAGCUGGCACCUUGACGGUACCUAACCAGAAAGCCACGGCUAACUACGUGCCAGCCGCCGCGGUAA